rnacentral:snRNA from 1 species
GUCGCUUCUCAGCUGAUCAAGUGUAGUAUCUGUUCUGAUCAGUUUAGUAUCUGGUGCAUCCUCUAUCUGAGGACAAUAUAUCAGAAGGAUUUUUGGAGCUGGGAGAUAGAAUGGGGGCUUGCUCCGUCCACUCCAUGCAUAGAACUAGUUGUAGUACUUCCAGGAACAGUGCAUUGGAA